CACAUUCAACAUGUGUAAGUGUUAUUAGUUAGUUAGCAAUUACCCCAAGUAAAAGGAAACCUCUAUUUAACCAAUCAGAAUCAAGCAUUCAUCAAUGUUAUGGUAGAAUUCAUCAUUACGAUUACUACUAUAUUAGGGUUACACGGAAUUCAGGGACAGACAUGCCCAUAUAUGGACACGGCUUGAAACAGGUGAAGGUUAUUGUGCUAAUUCUUAGAACCGAGUUGGCUGAUUAUAUAUAAGGUGUUCGUGGGGCGUUUUCAGACACACACUGUGAAUCGCUUUGUGGAUCUCUUGCACAACACACAACUGUAUCUAUACCUGCGACACACGACAACUCUCCAAACAGAAAAAAAAUGUCCGACAAAGGUGGUCAAAAAGGUUACUCCGGGACUGGCACAAAAGCUGACCUUGGCAACCACUCCAAUCAGAUGAACCCCAACAACCCCGUGUUUGGAGGGGGUUCCAGUCAGUACGGUGGGACUGGCACAAAAGCUGACCUUGGCAACCACUCCAAUCAGAUGAACCCCAACAACCGCGAGUUUGGAGGGGGCAAGCCUGGAGGCAAGAAGUGAUGACGUGUCACCUGAUGAUUGGCUUGCACAGACAAUAUAGACACAUCACGUGACAUUGUGUCAGUAAGGAUACUUCUGUGCCAUGAUUGUCCAGUCAAAUACUUAGCAGAUAAAAUUGUAUACGUAAAAUAAAUACGUUAUAACUA